rnacentral:lncRNA from 1 species
AACUCCUUUCCGUUGUGGGUCAGGACCUUAUGAUUUGUGCCCAAAAUAGAUAGAACGAUACGGUUCGAAAACAGUAGCACAUUGACACAACGACAUACAAAACAAACAUUCACAGUCCACACCACUUGCUUUGGCUGGGGUCACCUACCGUAUGCCUUUUAAAUUAGGAAAGUAGGAACACAGUGUGACUCUGGAGAAUGGAUGAUGAGAAUAAUGAAGAUUACUACAUUGUUUGGUAAUUGAGGGAUGAUGAGUUGCUUAAAAUGUGUGUAUUGUGAUAGAUAUUUAUUAAAAGUAUUUUCAAGUGAUGCCACAUAUUACUCUAAAAGGUAUUUAGGCCUCCGUUGGUAUGUUUAAAGCCAAGCUUUUUUUUUAAGACUUGACUACUAAAAAUGUCAAGAAUUUUUGGACUUUUUUGCUUUUGAGUUUUACUUUACAAACAACAAAAAAGCAAAAAAGCAAAAAGCAAAAAAGCCAACUCUGAUUGGCUUUUUUGCUAUUUUAAGCCAAAAAAAACCAGAAAAAAACUAAAAAAAAAUGGAUGCCAAACAGAGCCUUAAUCAUUUUCUUGGACUGAAUCAUUGUUGAUUAGAGAAAUUACUUACAGUUUUUUUAUACUUUUAAUUAUCAGAUCGCACUACAUAUUUCAAUUUUAAUUAGGUCAGUUAAAAAUUAUUCGAAGGUAUAAUGGUUUUACUAACCAUUGUCCAAGAUGUGGUGUUUCAAUAUACACGUUUCAUGAAUAUUUAUACUAUUGAGAUGUUUGAAUAUACUGUUCAUGAAAGAUUUAUAUCCAUGUUUUAAUAGCAAAAAGGAAAUACAUUUUUGUUGUUCCUGUUAAAACUAAGUAUUGAUGUGAUAUUUUAUCCCAUGUCGUUUAAGUGACAAAAGAGGCAAUGUGAUUUCAGUAACAUGCCAAGUGAUUCCUAAUUAGGAAGCAUUAGAUGAAAAUAUACGUUCAUACUUAACUUUGUAAAGUAUGUGGAUGACCACGGCACCAUUAGAAGUAAAAGAUAGAUAUAAAAACAAUUUAACUAAAUGUUACACUGUGUAAUUACACUUCUUAUUAAAUUUCAUUUUCGGCGGCCGGCCCUCCAAUACGUACGAUGAGCAGCCCAAUGUAAUUUGUUAUUUUUUACAUCGAAUUUUCCUUAGCAUUUUCCUCUUUAAAAUCAUAGACAAGAAAGCUCACAUUCAAUUUCACAAAAUUUAACUAUUCGAGUUGAAAUAAAGUCUUGCAGUUACAAACACCUCAUUUACUUGAAGAAAAAGCAAGAAAACAUAACUAUUCCAUAGAAACUUUGAUAUAGGGAUAUCCUGGAAAACCACAUUAGGGGGGAGAGAGAGAGAGAGAGAGGAGCGAAACAAAAGCAACCCUAAUGACAGAAAAGCAAGCCUAGUCUUUAACUUCCACACUUCUCUUUGAUCUGCAGUAAAAAAAAUGGACAAAUAUAUUAUACUUAGAUGGAUAUGAAGUGAAGACAUACAUAUCUUUAAUUACAAUAAUAUUAAUUUGAUUAUCAAAGCCAACAUGAAAGCUACAAAUGCAAAAGGUCUCAUAACCAAAUCAAUAAAAUUAAUAAUUAAUAAUAAUAAUAAAAGAAUAAUAAAUCUAAAUUGACCACAGAACUAGCAAUAGAAAAUAUAUGGACAGAAAUGGUAGAUUCCACCUUACACAUAUUGCAUAAGCUUUGUGUAUGAGAAGUUAUAUAUAAGUAUAGAAAGACAAACUUAAAUAAAGAAUAAAAGUAAAAAUGUAUAUUAAACAUAAAGGAUAUUCAGAAUAUAUUUUAUUUUUUUUUUUUUUUUUGAAAUAUUGUUAAUCAUAAAUAGCAAUAUAUAUCAUAUUAUAUUCUGAAUAUAUGUCUAAAGAUAUUCAAUAUAUUCAACAAAUGCUACUACCAUGUAUUUGAUACACGCUAAUGGAAUCCCAUGCAUACAUUUUAAAUAUUGAGUAUUUUUUAGAUAAUAUUUUAGAUUUUGUCUAUUGCUGUUGAAGAAAAAAAAUCAACAAUGCUAGUCUCACGAAUCCAGAAAAGUAGGAAAAUUAGAAAUAUAUCAAAAAUUCAUUAAUAGCUUAAUUUUUGGGUAUUUAAUGUAGUCCGUUGGGAAUGCUUAAAAGUCAAGUUAUUUUUAAAAUUCUACCAAAAGAGUCAAGAUUUUUUUAUUUUUUUGUUUUUUGGCUUUAUUUUAGCUAAAACAUAAAAAAAUUAUAUAACUGACUAUUUAUUAUAAACUUAAAAAAAAUCCACUAAAAAAAAAUGGUACCAAAGGAGUCUAAGAAAAAGAGGAUCAUCGAAGUACCAUAUGAGUGUGGUGUUUGUGGAGCAGAACGUGAUGGGAGUUAACGUGCGCUGGAGGUAGUCGAAGCCCCCAGCUGGAGUGAAAUGGAGGUGACGCCAAACUCAUUGGGCCACCCCUGGUGACCAGUUGCAGUGCACCAGACAUCGAGCGUCGUCCCCGAACGCUCUCGCACCGUUGAAUGGCCCACCCAACCUCCCCAAACGCCACGUCGUUAAAUGAACACCGCGACUUUUGUGAUUCCACCAGGCAAUCGCACCUGCGCGCAGAGGAUCAGGUUCCGCGAUUAGUCAUGUGAACGAGACCAAAGCAAUGGUCAAUCAAGACAAGCAGCAGGGAGGGUGCGGGGAGACAUGCACAAGGUCCAUUCUUAGAAUUUACAUCGCCAAUUCCGGACGAAAGACAAUUAUACCCGUCCCGAGUGUGAUAUUGAUAUGUGGGACAUCUCACACUAUACAGCAUCUAGAUGAUAUUUUAAUAAAAUUUUAAUAUAUCAAUGAUUAUAAAUUUUAUGCACGUAAAAUAUAGUAAAUCAAAACGGAAAAUAUAAUCUUAAACAUAUCAUAGUUUAUAAAAUAUUAUGUACAUGUGACAUAUUAAUUAAAUACUGCUAAAUAAAAAACUUCAGUUAUAUUAGGUUCACAUAAGUGAUAUUAAAAUCAUAAUUAUUAGAUAUAAGUAAAACUUCACAAAUACCUAAUAAAUAAAUAAAUUUUAUAUAUAAUAUAUAUCAGUCGAAAUCAAAACCGAACAAAAAUGAGUUAAGCAUAAAUUUGCUAAACAUGAUAUAUAUAUAUAUAUAUAUAUAGAUAUUAAUUCUAUAUAUAUAUAUAAUCAUAGACUUUAUUAUAGUUAUUUAUAUUCCUCACAACGCUUACUUCACAUGUGUAAGAUGCACUCUAGCAUAUUAACAAUAAAACAUAAUAUGUAAGGCAAACACGAACAACCACUGCCAAAUAUGGGAAGCGCUUUGUUCAAAAAUUGAAAAAAUAUUAACGAAAAACAAAUAGUUAGUUCAUUUGUGAGUAAAAAUAUGUUUUAAUUAAAUAAUGAAACAUAUUGUUAAAUUUUUCUUUUACAAAAAUCUACAGAACAAACUAAUUUUAAAAAAGUUUACACACAAACGAAAAAACUCGAAUCUUUAAAAACUUAAAUCACCUAAUUAAAAAUUAAAAAAAAAGAACUAUGCCUAAGAAAUAUGAUUGAGAUUCAUGUAAAAAGAAGUAUUCUUAAUUCCUCAUAGAGUAUUAUAUUAUCUACAUAAUGCUAACCAAUUUAGAACAAACCCCUUGUUUACCUAAAUCUGGAGUGAUGCAGAUGGAACAGUAGGAGGAGGAGCAAAGAUUGAAUAACCACCAUAAUAGUCAUUGAUGGCUGUUGCUGUUGUGUUUUAGCUUCAACCAACUUCUUCUUCCUCAACUUCUUUUGCAUAUGGACAAACGCUGACCACUCAUCAUCAUCAGCUCCCUCAGCAACACCCUGGCCCACCGCCCACCGCCCGCCUGAUCAUUCCUGGGAACCCGAACCCGGACGGAAAUAGAAGCCCUCCGGCCUCGCAAACUCCGCAUCCAGACCCCAAAAAGCUCGGUCUGGUUCACCGAUGGGAUUGCGAAUUCGCCACGUCGACAAACGGGGAGGCCUUUGGGGAGAGGAACGCGCUUCUCGGAGCGAUGAGGACGACGACGUGGCGGUGGAGGACGGCAGGCCGUGGGUGUUGGGGGGUUGUGGGGUUGGUGUUUGUUUGGUGGAUUGGAGGUGGCGCUGUUGCUUGUGUUUGGUGCGGGACUUUCGGUCGGAACAGUAGAAGACGUGGGGCGUCGCCCACCUGGGCAAGUAUUCUUGGAGCUGGGCUCGGAUCUUUUCGGAUUCGUCGCGGGGCGGGUUGACAUGCCCGAGUUGAAGAGGCUUCCAGGGAUCCGGAUUGCUCUGGCUUCGGAUUCCACCUGGGUUUUGGCUCGGGGGUUCUUUCUUCAACUUACUACCAUUGUUUCACAUUCACAAAAUACCAAGUUAAAGAUGAACCCUAAAAAGAAAAAAGACAAAAACUAACUGCACAUAAAAGUACAAAAAAUGGAAAAUACACAAAAAAUUAUGAACGAUUGUAGAUUUAAUUCUGAUUACGGGACCCCCCUUUGAAUGCAUAGGCCCAUACAUGAUGAUUUUUUGUGUAAAAGCAAUGAUUUCUCAAACAAAAAACCCUAGAAAAUUUGAUUCUUUCUAAAAUCACAACAUAACUUCUUUCUUGAUAAAAACAGCACUUUUUAUUCAUAGAAUCAAUAAGUGAAACAAGAACAGUUAAACAGACUGCUUGCGUUUUCAAAUUCAGCUUUUUAGGAAAGUUCUGAUAAUCGUUGUAAUUUAAAAAAAUUAUUUUUUUGAGAAAUUUAGAAACAAAUCUUGAUCAUGUUACUCUCAAAAAUUAAUCUUCUUCUAACUUAAUUCUGGAAACAGUUUCGAAAACAAUCAAGUCAAUAAAUUUUCUAAAUUUUGAAAAAAAUGAAAUCAGAAAACAAAAGAGCCUUAGGUUUCAAGACUAAUCUAUGAAGGGUGAGGACUAUGCCUUUUCCGUUAUGUCGUGGAUAGAGAGUGCAACCUCUACAGGGCAAAAGGGGGAGAGGAGAGAGCAAGAGCAGAGGAGAGAGAGAGAGCUUGAAUGACCAUGAUUGAUGAGUGUAUGACAUCAAUUUGACUAACAAAUU